UACGUAGGGGGCAAGCGUUGUCCGGAAUUAUUGGGCGUAAAGCGCACGCAGGUGGUUUAAUAAGUCUGAUGUAAAAGCCCACGGCUCAACCGUGGAAGGGCAUUGGAAACUGUUAAACUUGAGUGCAGGAGAGAAAAGUGGAAUUCCUAGUGUAGCGGUGAAAUGCGUAGAGAUUAGGAGGAACACCAGAGGCGAAGGCGGCUUUUUGGCAUGCAACUGACGCUGAGGUGCGAAAGCGUGGGGAGCAAACAGG
rnacentral:rRNA from 1 species